rnacentral:rRNA from 1 species
AUACGGAGGGUGCAAGCGUUAAUCGGAAUUACUGGGCGUAAAGGGCGUGUAGGCGGUACGGAAAGUCUUUGUUGAAAUCUCCCGGCUCAACUGGGAGGGAUGCAGAGAUACUUUCGAACUAGGGUACGGGAGAGGUGAGUGGAAUUCCGAGUGUAGAGGUGAAAUUCGUAGAUAUUCGGAAGAACACCAGUGGCGAAGGCGGCUCACUGGCCCGUUACCGACGCUCAGGCGCGACAGCGUGGGGAGCAAACAGGAUUAGAAACCCCGGUAGUCC